rnacentral:rRNA from 1 species
AAAGUACUCUGGAAAGAGAGUUCACAAGUGCGUGAAACUGAACACCGCAAAGCGAAUAACUGUGCAUUCUACGAUGCGGUUAGCUGUCUUCGACGCGUGGCGCUGCCGGCUCAGGGGUUGGCGGUGGGUUCGCUCCCGCCUUUCCUGUCGUUUGUGUGGCCGACUGUGUGUUGCCCUACGCGGAGUUGUACUUGCCGCCGCACUAUUGGCUGUCUGGCAGGCGAGCAAGCUAAAUGGCGUCAGGAGGCGAGGCGUGUGUGUCUUGUGCUCCACCCUCUACGUUAAUGACGUCGCUGUAUGUUGGCGUCCGCUGGUCCGUUUCAACGGGCGCUGCUCAUCGUGCUUGCCUGCUAUACGUGGGUGCCGUCGUCGCAAGCCAGGUGUCGGUGGGUGGUGGUGUGUCUGCGGGUGCUGCCGCUGUUUACGUGUCAUGAAUUUGGCAUUGCGUGUGGUGCCAGUGCGGAUUGCAGUGCCGCUUCAGUCUGGCGGCUUGCGGCCAAGACAGCCUCAGGUGUGCUCAGUAUUCGAACCGUCUUGAAACACGGACUAAGGAGUUCAACUUGAACGCGAGUCGUUUUCAAUCGAGAAUUUUGAAGGCGAAGUGAAAUCGAUCCUAUGUGAGAAAGGAGUGUCAACUGGUCCACCGGCUGCCGGGGGUUCGCCUCCGGUGCCGUGGCCAAAGGCAAACGUUAUGGGUAUCACGACAGAUACAGUUGUUGACUGCACGUGAGCGUUCAAGAUGAGACCCGAAAGAUGGUGAACUAUGCCUGAGUAGGACGAAGCCAGGAGAAAUCCUGGUGGAAGUCCGCAGCGGUUUUGACGUGCAAAUCAAUCGUAAGACUUGGGUAUAGGGGCGAAAGACUAAUCGAACCGUCUAGUUGCUGGUUCCCUCCGAAGUUUCCCUCAGGAAAGCUGGCGUGGUUUAGUUUUACCCGGUAAAGCUAAUGACUGGAGGGAUCAGAGUUGUAAUAUCUUUGACCUACUUUCAAACUUAAAACGGAUAAGAUACGGUCCGCUGCUUUAACGAGCGACCGUUGCAAAUUUCACGCGCCAAGUGGGCCAUUUUUGGUAAGCAGAUCGGGCGCUGUGGGAUGAACUGAACGGCGAGCUAUGGCGCCCGACACACUUCUCAGAAGACACCAUGAAAGGUGUUAGUUGAUAAUGACAGCAGGACGGUGGCCAUGGAAGUCGGUAUCCGCUAAGGAGUGUGUAACGACUCACCUGCCGAAUCAACUAGCCCUGAAAAUGGAUGGCGCUAUAGACGUGGGCCUAUGCUCGGCCAUUGAGGUGUCCUGCACACGCGUGUUGUACUGUGUCGUCGUCGCUUUUGUGGCGGCGGCGCGCGCGCGCGCGACGCAUUGAUUGUGAAAGGCUCUCGAUGAGUAGGAGGGCGAAGGCGUUGACUCAGAAGCGUGCGGUGUGAACCGGCGUGGAGUUGGCGGUCUUGCAGAUCUUAGUGGCAGUAGCGAGUAUUCAAGAUAAACGUUUGAAGACUGAAGUGGAGAAGGGUUCCAUGUGAACCUCGUUUGAACAUGGCUCAGCCGAUCCUAAGAGUGUGCGAGAUUUUGUGAAAUAAUGUGGGACGUUUUGUGCGUCCACGCGAUCGAAAGGGAAUCGGGCUAAGCUUCCCGAGCCAGGAGACGGAUUAUGAUGGCUUUUUUACGAAAAAAAGUGACAGAAGCGGUGACGCUCGCAAACCCAGAGAGUGCCAUGCGAUGCCCGGGGGAGAGUUCUCUCUUCUUUGUUAGGCAAGCUCACCCUGAAAGCGCAUUUUUCGGAGACAGGGUCUAACUGCCGUAUUGCGGAGUGACUUUUGCGCCGCACCGUGUGCAUUGUGUGGCCCGUGAAAAUCUGGGGGCGCAGUUAUGUGUCUUGUUCCUGAUCGUACCCAGUUCCGCAUCAGGUCUCCAAGGUCUAUAGCCUCUAGUUUAUGGGAUAAAGUAGGCAAGGGAAGUCGGCAAGUCAGAUCUGUACCCUUGGAAAAAGGAUUGGCUCUGAAGGCUGAGUUGAUCGGGGCUGUUGCCGAAAGGGGCGGAUUCGUCUGGGGGUUGGUCCGGGGCUUGCCUCGGAGGAGGUCGGCUCCAGAGCAGGCUCCCGCCUAUUUCGUCUUACGGACGGCUCCAGCUUGUCGGUGCAUGGCGCUAUCAACGGCGCGGUGUACGCAAAUCGGUCAACGGCGAACAGCCGCAUCAGAACUGGUACGGACAAGGGGAAUCCGACUGUCUAAUUAAAACAGAGCAUUGCGAUAGCCGUCACCGGUUUUGACGCAAUGUGAUUUCUGCCCAGUGCUCAGACUGUUAACGUGGCGAGAUCUAAAUAAGCGCGGGUAAACGGCGGGAGUAACUAUGACUCUCUCGAGGUAGCCAAAUGCCUCGUCAUCUAAUUAAUGACGCGCAUGAAUGGAUCAAUGAGAUUCCCACUGUCCCUGUCUGCAACCCAGCGAAACCACAGCCAAGGGAACGGGCUUGGGAUGAGACGGCGGGGAAAGAAGACCCUGUUGAGCUUGACUCUAGUCAGUUUUUGUGAAGAAACGUGAAAGAUAUAGGAUACGUGGGACCUUCGGGGUCACUGAAAUACCACUGCUUUCAUUGUUACUUGACUAACUCGAUUAUCUUGUUGGCGAAGUUGCUUAUUCUUGUCAUACAUGUAUUUCUUGGUUCAGUGCAUGAGAACGUUAUUAUUCGAGAACUCUGGCAGAUUGGGAGUUUGACUGGGGCGGUACAUCUACUAAAGUCUAACGCAGGUGUCCAAAAGUAAUCUCAGCGAGAACGGAAGCCUCGCGAGGCGUAAAAGGGCAAAAGUUUGCUUGAUCUUGACUUCCAGUUGGGGUAUGGACGACGAAAGUUCGGCCUAUUGAUCCUUUUGAAUUUUACGGAUUUUGAGCAAGAGGUGUCAGAAAAGUUACCACAGGGAUAACUGGCUUGUGGCGGCCAAGCGGCCAUAGCGACGUCGCUUUUUGAUCCUUCGAUGUC